GGGUUGUGAGGUUAAGCGACUAAGCGUACACGGUGGAUGCCCUGGCAGUCAGAGGCGAUGAAGGACGUGCUAAUCUGCGAUAAGCGUCGGUAAGGUGAUAUGAACCGUUAUAACCGGCGAUUUCCGAAUGGGGAAACCCAGUGUGUUUCGACACACUAUCAUUAACUGAAUCCAUAGGUUAAUGAGGCGAACCGGGGGAACUGAAACAUCUAAGUACCCCGAGGAAAAGAAAUCAACCGAGAUUCCCCCAGUAGCGGCGAGCGAACGGGGAGCAGCCCAGAGCCUGAAUCAGUGUGUGUGUUAGUGGAAGCGUCUGGAAAGGCGCGCGAUACAGGGUGACAGCCCCGUACACAAAAAUGCACAUAUUGUGAGCUCGAUGAGUAGGGCGGGACACGUGGUAUCCUGUCUGAAUAUGGGGGGACCAUCCUCCAAGGCUAAAUACUCCUGACUGACCGAUAGUGAACCAGUACCGUGAGGGAAAGGCGAAAAGAACCCCGGCGAGGGGAGUGAAAAAGAACCUGAAACCGU
rnacentral:rRNA from 1 species